GUGCCCACUGCGGCGGCACAUACCCUAAGAUUGGACCGGAGCAGGGAGGAUUAGCGUGGCCCCUGCCAGGAUGCACGCAAAUUCGUGAAGCAGCCCAUGUCUUA
ensembl:snRNA U6 U6 spliceosomal RNA